UCUUUUUUCUUUCUUUCUUUUU
rnacentral:sRNA from 1 species